UACGAAGGGUGCAAGCGUUACUCGGAAUUACUGGGCGUAAAGCGUGCGUAGGUGGUUUGUUAAGUCUGAUGUGAAAGCCCUGGGCUCAACCUGGGAACUGCAUUGGAAACUGGCUUACUAGAGUGCGGUAGAGGGGUGUGGAAUUCCCGGUGUAGCAGUGAAAUGCGUAGAUAUCGGGAGGAACACCGGUGGCGAAGGCGGCGACCUGGGUAGAUACUGACGCUGAGGCGCGAAAGCGUGGGGAGCAAACAGG
rnacentral:rRNA from 1 species